ACCAAAAAGGCAUAUCAACAAGGGAAAUUACUAAAAUAUUGAGUCUUACAUCAUCAAUAGUUAAAGAUAUUGUGAAAAAAUUUAAAGAAACUGAAAGCACCUUUAUUGAAAAAUCAUCUGGAUGAUCAAAAAUAAUAAGCUGAUGUGAUGAUCUUGUAUUAACUUUCUACUGCAUCAGAUAUUACAACCCACAUAGUCAGAAACAAUAAGAGCCAUAAUUUCAACUUCAUGACUUUCAUCAUGUUGAAAUUGAAAUGAUGGCCCUUAUUGAAGAAGAUGAAGAUGACCAUGAAGAAGAUGGGAUAGUCAUUUAUAAGCCAAAAGUGAAAUCUUUUCUCAAUACAAAACAGAAAAAAUGGAUAUUGGAUUGGGUGCAGAAAUACUGUUCAUGAAAAAAAAAAAUAAUUUUUUUCUGAUGAAUCUCGUUUUGAAGUGUGUGUUGGAAGCAAAGAACUUUAUGUUAUCUGAAAGAAAGAGGAAGCUUGCCAUUCUGAUUGUGUGAUUAUGUUUUGUAUAUACUCAAAUUCCCUAAAAAGUGUAAUGGUCAGGAGAUGUAUGAAAAUUCAAGCAUUGGACAACUUCAGUUCAUCAAUAAGAUUGUGAAAGUAUCAAAUUACUUCCAUUUACUGCAUAUCUGUAUCUGGAUGGUCAAUACAUGUUUCAGCAAGACAAUGCUACAUAGCAAAGACAGUAAAAACUUAGAUGAAUGAUAUUAAUUUGAAGGUGCUGGAUUGGCAUACAAAUAGUCUAGAUAUGCUACCUAUUGAAAAAUCUAUGGGAUAUUUAAAAAAAAGCUGUAAAAAAUGACCAAAAAUCAAGAAUCAUUUAUGCUAAAUUUAAAAGAAAAAGGGAAAAAAUAACACCAGAACAAUGCCAUAAGCUGAUUUUUCCCAUGCCUGAUAGAAUAAAUCAACUCAUCAAGGCAAAAGGAGAUAUUACUAAAUAUUAAAUAAUAGUGGCCGAAUCAUUUGAAGUAAAAAUAAAUUGGCCAAACCAUUUUGACGUUUACGUUAUUUUCUUAUGAGUGUUAAUAAAUGUGCUUUUUUUAAGUGUCUAUUUUACAACUUAAAUGAAUGAAUUUUUCAUAUGUACAGCGAACAAUCAAAAAGUUUUAAUAAUUACUGACAAAAACUUACAUUGAUGUUUUCUAAUUUGGAGAUUUAAUGGUGACCGAAUCAUUAUGGAAUUGAAUUGUAUAACUAGCGAUUUGGAAAAAGAAUUUAUAAUUAACUCUUAUUGAAGAUGUCGGCUGAAUGACCGCGUGAUAAAGCUAUUACUUAUCACCCCUAAAGGACCGGGUUUAAAUCCGGGUCCCGCACCUCCAAUUUUUAAGGACGAGAUCCUCGGCCCGUUGAAUCCCCAUCCUUUAACCAUCCGGUUGACCCCAUCAUGGGCGUUGUUCAGCCUUGAGAGGCUCUAUAAAUGGCAGCCGCCAGAUACAGAAUAUCCCUCGUGCGAUAUGGCUGCUUAACCAAAACUAAACUUACUAAAUCUUAUUGAAGAUAAAUGUUAAAAUCAGAUCAUUGGAAGUUACUAUGCAAAUAUAUUACAUAGGCUUAUGAUAUUUUUUUAUAUUUUAAAUAUACAUGUAAGUUUUCUGCUAAGAAAGUCAUGUGACAUCAAAAUUUUAAAAGUAGCUUUGCCAGAACCUAAGUUUGAUUUAAAAGUCAGAAAUCUGUCCUAUUCAAAAUGUAGUUCCGAAAAAUUUCUGUUAAAUAUAUACUAUAUAAACAUACUCUCCAUAAUUAUAUCGAAUGUAUUACCCGGUAUUUAAUAAUUUUGAUAUUAUUGUUAAUUUUCUGAAAGAAUUGAAAAUCUAAUAAAACAG
rnacentral:lncRNA from 1 species